CGAACAUGUGAUAAGUCAACGAAGAGGCUCAGCGAAACAUUUUUGUUGUAGUGGAGCUAGGUACGAGGAACAAGACUACUCAAGUAGAUGAAAGAAAAAAUCAAGAUUUUUGCUUAUUUGCGUUACGUUGCUAACGUCAAGCUGCUGGCUUCAAGUCUUGAGCUUCUGGAUUUGUUGUCAAAAGGUGCUGUUUCAUAAUGUAUUUGAGCCUGUCAACUGGGUUUUUGAUGUUUGAAUAAUUUAUUCUCAUACGAUGCAAAUCGUGGUGAAUAGAUUCUCCACCUUGUUCACCAUAAAAACCUAAGCCCGUUCUCCACUUGUUUACAAAAUCCAAUACAUGGUCUUCUAGUAUGUGCAGCUUUGGACUGAUGUAUAUUGAAGGCCAAUUAACUCUUAAAUAACACAUGAACUGAUUGAUAGAUGUCUCUAAAAGUUGGUUAAACAAAUUUUAUAAAUUGACUUUUCUACUUUUAAGCAUUUCAUAAAAAUCAAACUUGCAUAUUUUACCUAAAUUUGAUAACAUUUCUUGGGUCAUAAUACAUGAAGAAUUGAAUAUUGAGUGACACGAACCAUACAGCUUGAACAGUUGUUCAAACUUCUUGCAUGUUUCUUGACACUCCAGAUAUAAAACUUGAUCAUCACAUUGAUUCUGUACAAUUUCAGGAAUACGAUCACAUAAAUACUUUAUGUUGCCAUCCUAUAAUAUUGUCUACUGUUUGUUGUAAACCAAUUUGUGAAAUUAUACUUAUGCAUAAUACAAUUUCAUAUUUUUCGUUUACUUUAUCUUGUUUCAAUACAAAUUGUAUAGCAUUGUAUUGAAACAAGAUAAAGUAAACGAAAAUUUUUAUAAAUUGCAAAAAUAAAUCUAACCUUGAGCAUUUUAUGACAAUGGUUGCCAAUAAAGCUUUUUCCGUGGUACGCCUGCCUCUCAACACCAAGCUCCUGCAGUGUAUCGUCUAGGGAUGAUACGCAAGGACCAGAUCCAAUUUCCAAUUGGUACUUUUCUUUGAAUGCUUUUAUGCUUCUAUGUUUCUCCUUCAGUUCAAAUUCUAAGUUAUCCAACUCUGGUUUGUAGUUUUUUUCAAACUCAUCCUUGGUAAUUUGUUUAGAUAUAACCAUCCAGUUCAUAUGUUCCUGCUGGUUAUCAUACUCGUCCUCCAAUUCUUUUGACUCAUUUUGUAAAUUGCUAAAUAUAUACAUAUAUAUAUACAUAUAUAUAUAGAUAUGUUAUAAAGAAAUGCAGCCCAAGAUAUGAUUGGAAGUAGUAUUAAUAAUAAUAAAAAUCUAGUAAGGUGUACAUACAUUAAAAUUCUCAUAUUUGCCAUAAACUCUGCAAAUUUAAUAUUAAUUUCACCAUCAGUAGUUUGAGCAUGAAUUGUGGCAAUUCUUAAAUCAACUUCUUGACAGUAGCUUUCCAAGUUGUUGAACAUUUUUAAAUAUAUCCCAAGUGUUAGGUGGAGCCCUGGUAUAGCCACCUAUAUAAAAAGUAAUAAAAAAUAGGUUUGCUGAAUUUUCAUAACAUUGCACGAAGUACAUUAUACUUACUUGUUCUAGGGGGAUGUUAAAGAAGCAAUCAUGUAUCACAUUUUGAUAGUGUUUGGCGUUUUU